rnacentral:rRNA from 1 species
UACGUAGGGUGCGAGCGUUAAUCGGAAUUACUGGGCGUAAAGCGUGCGCAGGCGGUUAUGCAAGACAGAUGUGAAAUCCCCGGGCUCAACCUGGGAACUGCAUUUGUGACUGCAUGGCUGGAGUGCGGCAGAGGGGGAUGGAAUUCCGCGUGUAGCAGUGAAAUGCGUAGAUAUGCGGAGGAACACCGAUGGCGAAGGCAAUCCCCUGGGCCUGCACUGACGCUCAUGCACGAAAGCGUGGGGAGCAAACAGA